rnacentral:rRNA from 1 species
AACGAACGCUGGCGGCAGGCUUAACACAUGCAAGUCGAGCGAGACCUUCGGGUCUAGCGGCGGACGGGUGAGUAACGCGUGGGAACGUGCCCUUCUCUACGGAAUAGCCCCGGGAAACUGGGAGUAAUACCGUAUACGCCCUUAGGGGGAAAGAUUUAUCGGAGCAGGAUCGGCCCGCGUUGGAUUAGGUAGUUGGUGGGGUAAUGGCCCAACAAGCCGACGAUCCAUAGCUGGUUUGAGAGGAUGAUCAGCCACACUGGGACUGAGACACGGCCCAGACUCCUACGGGAGGCAGCAGUGGGGAAUCUUAGACAAUGGGGGCAACCCUGAUCUAGCCAUGCCGCGUGAGUGAUGAAGGCCUUAGGGUUGUAAAGCUCUUUCAGCUGGGAAGAUAAUGACGGUACCAGCAGAAGAAGCCCCGGCUAACUCCGUG